GGAACAGCAAAAACCGCUUUCGUCUUCGCCAUGUCCUGGUUCGACUAAUCGUAGCACCCGCGAUUCGCAGCCAUCUUUUACCUUUCGCCCAACAGAUAGGAGGACGAAGGCGGCGCCAAAACCCUAAAAUUUCUCCUGGGAUCUGCGAAUUCUUUGGUUAAUUCUCACCUGGAGUUUAUGGGUGGUCUUGGUAUGGCUGAAGAAACUAGGAUGGAGAAUGAGACCGAUGAUUUGGCUUGUGAUAAUAUAGCAGAGCUUGCUGUCAGCGAUGAAGAGAUUGAUGCUGAAGAACUGGAGAGACGGAUGUGGAAAGAUCGUGUCAAGCUCAAAAGGAUCAAAGAACGACAAAAGGUCAAGGCUCAAGUGGCUGAAACCAAAGAGAAGGCCAAGAAAAUCUCGGAUCAAGCUCAGCGGAAGAAAAUGUCUAGAGCCCAGGAUGGCAUCCUUAAGUACAUGUUGAAACUAAUGGAAGUCUGCAAAGUUCGAGGGUUUGUGUAUGGUAUUAUACCUGAAAAGGGCAAGCCUGUCAGUGGUUCCUCUGAUAACAUUAGAGCUUGGUGGAAGGAGAAAGUGAAGUUUGACAAGAACGGUCCAGCAGCCAUUGCAAAAUAUGAAGAGGAAUGCUUAGCUUUUGGGAAAUCAGAUCGGAAUGGAAACGCGCAGUAUGUUCUCCAAGACCUGCAAGAUGCAACGUUAGGGUCUUUGUUAUCUUCUUUGAUGCAGCAUUGUGAUCCUCCACAGAGGCGAUAUCCGUUAGAGAAAGGGACUCCUCCACCAUGGUGGCCAACUGGGAAAGAAGAAUGGUGGGCAAAAUUAGGUCUACCCAUAGGCCUGACUCCUCCUUACAAAAAGCCCCAUGAUCUCAAAAAGAUGUGGAAAGUUGGUGUUCUAACAGCUGUAAUCAAGCAUAUGUUACCUGAUAUUGCGAAGAUUAAGAGGCAUGUUCGCCAGUCGAAAUGUUUACAGGACAAGAUGACUGCUAAAGAGAGUGCAAUUUGGUUGGCUGUCUUGAAUCAAGAGGAAUCCUUUAUUCAGCAGCCAAGUAGUGAUAAUGGAAUAUCUAAUGUAACUGAAGUACCCCAAAGAGGAAAUGCUGGUAAGAGAACACAUGUCAUCAGCAGCGACAGUGACUAUGAUGUUGAUGGUGCUGAGGAUCGUUCAGGGUCAGUGUCAUCUAAAGAUAAAAGAAGAUAUCAAAUACAAGAAGGAGAACCAGCAAUUGUUUCCAGUGACGCUUCACAUUCAGGAAGAGAUAAAGACAAAGCAGAAAGACACCGCCGUAGGAAAAGACCGAGAUUGAGAUCUGGAAAUGUUGACAAACAGCCAGAGCAACAGGAGCAACUGGAAGCUGAGCCAAGAAAUAUUUUACCCGACAUGAAUCAGGUGAACGCACCUCUGGUUGACUAUAACGUGAACAAUGCUCACCCGGACGGUGAUUUAGAACCCAGUAUGGCCUUACGACUACUAGAUGGGAAUGGUCUGGAAGGUCAAUCUCAGCUGCCAGCUCCUGAGUUUGAUAACAGUUACUCAUGUGUUCCAUCUGCCAGUGAAAUGCCUAGACAACCAGUCAUGUUUGUUGAUGAAAGGCAAAUGCUUUACACCGUACCACCAAACCCUGAGUUGCAAUAUGGAGCUUGUUAUAACUUCUAUAAUCCUUCCAACGAUUAUGGACAGAGUCAUGGUGAAGGAGUGCAGACAUACAUAGAAAUGAAUCUUUCUCAUAGAAGGUUUGAGGCUUCCGGGGUCGAACCCCCUCUUGGGUUGCACGGAAAUGAAGACGAAACAACUGGAAACGAAUUGCCUCAGUAUGGAAAAGAAACAUUUCAGACCGAACAAGAAAGAUUCUUGGACAGUAACCUUCUUUCUCCGACGUUUGAUUUCGACCACUUUGGUGCUGGAUUUGAAAACUUGGGUUUCGAUGAUUUUGGCCUCGACUACUUUGGAGCAUAGUUACUAAUAUUUUGGGGAGAUAGAGAGAUACUACUUGGAUCCAAAAGGAGAUGGGAUCAGUUCCUGGCCUGGAUUAUACACUUGUGCUCUCCUAGUAGACAUUUGCCGAGAAUUUAGAAGAAUUCUUCGGAGCUUCAGGUAUUACUCUGUGACCGCUGGGGAUAUAAUCUGCUUCGACCCGAGCUUGCCUAUGGAAGAAUCCAAAGUUUUCAUCAAUCCAGAGUGUGUAUUCCACAGAUAGAGAAGAGAAAACUAAGAAGGGAGAAGAACCCUUGAUCUAAAACCUCGGAUCCAAUUGUGAACGUCCCUCAAUUGUUAUCUCUUGUAUCCCCAUUUCUUCACAAUCUGCAGAUUGAACGUUGAACAAUGAAGACACGUUGGUGAUC